GACGAACGCUGGCGGCGUGCCUAAUACAUGCAAGUAGAACGCUGAAGGAGGAGCUUGCUUCUCUGGAUGAGUUGCGAACGGGUGAGUAACGCGUAGGUAACCUGCCUGGUAGCGGGGGAUAACUAUUGGAAACGAUAGCUAAUACCGCAUAACAGUAGAUAUUGCAUGAUAUCUGCUUAAAAGGUGCAAUUGCAUCACUACCAGAUGGACCUGCGUUGUAUUAGCUAGUUGGUGAGGUAACGGCUCACCAAGGCGACGAUACAUAGCCGACCUGAGAGGGUGAUCGGCCACACUGGGACUGAGACACGGCCCAGACUCCUACGGGAGGCAGCAGUAGGGAAUCUUCGGCAAUGGACGGAAGUCUGACCGAGCAACGCCGCGUGAGUGAAGAAGGUUUUCGGAUCGUAAAGCUCUGUUGUAAGAGAAGAACGAGUGUGAGAGUGGAAAGUUCACACUGUGACG
rnacentral:rRNA from 1 species